rnacentral:miRNA from 1 species
UCCUGGCUGAGGACGGGUGUUGAA